CCCUUAGAUGUUCUGGGCUGCACGCGCGCUACACUGAUGCAUCCAACAAGUUUUUUCCUUGUUCGAGAGGACUAGGUAAUCUUAUGAGAAUGCAUCGUGAUGGGGAUAGAUUAUUGCAAUUAUUAAUCUUCAACGAGGAAUUCCUAGUAAGCGCGAGUCAUCAGCUUGCAUUGAUUACGUCCCUGCUCUUUGUACACACCGCCCGUCGCACCUACUGAUUGAAUGACUCGGUGAAAAAUCGGGACUGCGAGAACAAUCGAUUAAUUUCGAAUGUACUUGUGGGAACUUUUUUUAACCUCGCCAUUUAGAAGAAGGUGAAGUCGUAACA
rnacentral:rRNA from 1 species